UUAUCUCUGUAGAGUCUGCAUAUCAAUAAGCGGAGGAAAAGAAACUAACUAGGAUUCCCUCAGUAACGGCGAGUGAAGCGGGAAGAGCUCAAAUUUGAAAUCUUCAAGGUUCUACCUUGACGAAUUGUAGUUUAAAGAAGUGUUUUCUGUUGGUGUUUUGGUAAAAGUUCUUUGGAAUAGGACAUCAUAGAGGGUGAGAAUCCCGUAUUUGACCAUUACUUCCAGCGUUGUGAUACACUUUCAAAGAGUCGGAUUGUUUGGGAAUGCAGUCCAAAAUGGGUGGUAAAUUUCAUCUAAAGCUAAAUACUGGCGAGAGACCGAUAGCGAACAAGUACCGUGAGGGAAAGAUGAAAAGAACUUUGAAAAGAGAGUUAAACAGUACGUGAAAUUGUCAAAAGGGAAGCGUUUGACACCAGUGUUGUUUUCUCGAAAAUCAAUUAAAAAAGGCAGGAUUUUGUGUUGUAUUGACUUUAUCAGCUUUCUGCACUCUUUUCUUGUCUUUUUUUAAUGCACUUUUCGUUUAACAAGUCAACAUCAAUUUCUUUUGUUGUAAAAGGGUCAUUGGAAGGUGGCUUUCUUUUCGGAGAAAGUGUUUAUAGCCUUUGGCCUCUGCAAUCGGAGAGAUUGAGGUCUGCAGCGUAGAUCCUUCGGGGUUAGAUACAUUUGUGCUAAGUUAUAGCCUUUCAUAGACAACUUGUUGACUAUGAUCAGUCAUGUAGCUUACUCGCUUAUGCUAUUUUACCUACGCUUAGGAUGUUGAUAGUCACAGCGUGUAC
rnacentral:rRNA from 1 species